UUAAGCGACUAAGCGUACACGGUGGAUGCCCUGGCAGUCAGAGGCGAUGAAGGACGUGCUAAUCUGCGAUAAGCGUCGGUGAGGUGAUAUGAACCGUUAUAACCGGCGAUUUCCGAAUGGGGAAACCCAGUGUGUUUCGACACACUAUCAUUAACUGAAUCCAUAGGUUAAUGAGGCGAACCGGGGGAACUGAAACAUCUAAGUACCCCGAGGAAAAGAAAUCAACCGAGAUUCCCCCAGUAGCGGCGAGCGAACGGGGAGGAGCCCAGAGCCUGAAUCAGUGUGUGUGUUAGUGGAAGCGUCUGGAAAGGCGCGCGAUACAGGGUGACAGCCCCGUACACAAAAAUGCACAUAUUGUGAGCUCGAUGAGUAGGGCGGGACACGUGGUAUCCUGUCUGAAUAUGGGGGGACCAUCCUCCAAGGCUAAAUACUCCUGACUGACCGAUAGUGAACCAGUACCGUGAGGGAAAGGCGAAAAGAACCCCGGCGAGGGGAGUGAAAAAGAACCUGAAACCGUGUACGUACAAGCAGUGGGAGCCUCUUAAUGGGGUGACUGCGUACCUUUUGUAUAAUGGGUCAGCGACUUAUAUUCUGUAGCAAGGUUAACCGAAUAGGGGAGCCGAAGGGAAACCGAGUCUUAACUGGGCGUUAAGUUGCAGGGUAUAGACCCGAAACCCGGUGAUCUAGCCAUGGGCAGGUUGAAGGUUGGGUAACACUAACUGGAGGACCGAACCGACUAAUGUUGAAAAAUUAGCGGAUGACUUGUGGCUGGGGGUGAAAGGCCAAUCAAACCGGGAGAUAGCUGGUUCUCCCCGAAAGCUAUUUAGGUAGCGCCUCGUGAAUUCAUCUCCGGGGGUAGAGCACUGUUUCGGCAAGGGGGUCAUCCCGACUUACCAACCCGAUGCAAACUGCGAAUACCGGAGAAUGUUAUCACGGGAGACACACGGCGGGUGCUAACGUCCGUCGUGAAGAGGGAAACAACCCAGACCGCCAGCUAAGGUCCCAAAGUCAUGGUUAAGUGGGAAACGAUGUGGGAAGGCCCAGACAGCCAGGAUGUUGGCUUAGAAGCAGCCAUCAUUUAAAGAAAGCGUAAUAGCUCACUGGUCGAGUCGGCCUGCGCGGAAGAUGUAACGGGGCUAAACCAUGCACCGAAGCUGCGGCAGCGACACUAUGUGUUGUUGGGUAGGGGAGCGUUCUGUAAGCCUGUGAAGGUGGCCUGUGAGGGUUGCUGGAGGUAUCAGAAGUGCGAAUGCUGACAUAAGUAACGAUAAAGCGGGUGAAAAGCCCGCUCGCCGGAAGACCAAGGGUUCCUGUCCAACGUUAAUCGGGGCAGGGUGAGUCGACCCCUAAGGCGAGGCCGAAAGGCGUAGUCGAUGGGAAACAGGUUAAUAUUCCUGUACUUGGUGUUACUGCGAAGGGGGGACGGAGAAGGCUAUGUUGGCCGGGCGACGGUUGUCCCGGUUUAAGCGUGUAGGCUGGUUUUCCAGGCAAAUCCGGAAAAUCAAGGCUGAGGCGUGAUGACGAGGCACUACGGUGCUGAGCGACAAAUGCCCUGCUUCCAGGAAAAGCCUCUAAGCAUCAGGUAACAUCAAAUCGUACCCCAAACCGACACAGGUGGUCAGGUAGAGAAUACCAAGGCGCUUGAGAGAACUCGGGUGAAGGAACUAGGCAAAAUGGUGCCGUAACUUCGGGAGAAGGCACGCUGAUAUGUAGGUGAAGCGACUUGCUCGUGGAGCUGAAAUCAGUCGAAGAUACCAGCUGGCUGCAACUGUUUAUUAAAAACACAGCACUGUGCAAACACGAAAGUGGACGUAUACGGUGUGACGCCUGCCCGGUGCCGGAAGGUUAAUUGAUGGGGUUAGCGGUAACGCGAAGCUCUUGAUCGAAGCCCCGGUAAACGGCGGCCGUAACUAUAACGGUCCUAAGGUAGCGAAAUUCCUUGUCGGGUAAGUUCCGACCUGCACGAAUGGCGUAAUGAUGGCCAGGCUGUCUCCACCCGAGACUCAGUGAAAUUGAACUCGCUGUGAAGAUGCAGUGUACCCGCGGCAAGACGGAAAGACCCCGUGAACCUUUACUAUAGCUUGACACUGAACAUUGAGCCUUGAUGUGUAGGAUAGGUGGGAGGCUUUGAAGUGUGGACGCCAGUCUGCAUGGAGCCGACCUUGAAAUACCACCCUUUAAUGUUUGAUGUUCUAACGUGGGCCCCUUACCGGGGUUGCGGACAGUGUCUGGUGGGUAGUUUGACUGGGGCGGUCUCCUCCUAAAGAGUAACGGAGGAGCACGAAGGUUGGCUAAUCCUGGUCGGACAUCAGGAGGUUAGUGCAAUGGCAUAAGCCAGCUUGACUGCGAGCGUGACGGCGCGAGCAGGUGCGAAAGCAGGUCAUAGUGAUCCGGUGGUUCUGAAUGGAAGGGCCAUCGCUCAACGGAUAAAAGGUACUCCGGGGAUAACAGGCUGAUACCGCCCAAGAGUUCAUAUCGACGGCGGUGUUUGGCACCUCGAUGUCGGCUCAUCACAUCCUGGGGCUGAAGUAGGUCCCAAGGGUAUGGCUGUUCGCCAUUUAAAGUGGUACGCGAGCUGGGUUUAGAACGUCGUGAGACAGUUCGGUCCCUAUCUGCCGUGGGCGCUGGAGAACUGAGGGGGGCUGCUCCUAGUACGAGAGGACCGGAGUGGACGCAUCACUGGUGUUCGGGUUGUCAUGCCAAUGGCACUGCCCGGUAGCUAAAUGCGGAAGAGAUAAGUGCUGAAAGCAUCUAAGCACGAAACUUGCCCCGAGAUGAGUUCUCCCUGACUCCUUGAGAGUCCUGAAGGAACGUUGAAGACGACGACGUUGAUAGGCCGGGUGUGUAAGCGCAGCGAUGCGUUGAGCUAACCGGUACUAAUGAACCGUGAGGCUUAACCUU
rnacentral:rRNA from 1 species